AUUAGAUUAAAAACCAAUGCCCUCUGGGCUCCUUGGUGAUUCAUGAUAACUCUUCGAAUCGCACGGCCUUGCGCCGGCGAUGGUUCAUUCAAAUUUCUUCCCUAUCAACUUUCGAUGUUUGGGUCUUGGCCAAACAUGGUCGCAACGGGUAACGGAGGGUUAGGGCUCGACCCCGGAGAAGGAGCCUGAGAAACGGCUACUACAUCCAAGGAAGGCAGCAGGCGCGCAAAUUACCCAAUCCCGAUUCGGGGAGGUAGUGACAAUAAAUACUGAUACAGGGCUCUUUUGGGUCUUGUAAUUGGAAUGAGUACAAUUUAAAUCCCUUAACGAGGAACAAUUGGAGGGCAAGUCUGGUGCCAGCAGCCGCGGUAAUUCCAGCUCCAAUAGCGUAUAUUAAAGUUGUUGUGGUUAAAAAGCUCGUAGUUGAACCUUGGGCCUGGCUGGCCGGUCCGCCUCACCGCGUGUACUGGUCCGGCCGGGCCUUUCCCUCUGUGGAACCCCAUGCCCUUCACUGGGUGUGGCGGGGAAACAGGACUUUUACUUUGAAAAAAUUAGAGUGCUCCAGGCAGGCCUAUGCUCGAAUACAUUAGCAUGGAAUAAUGAAAUAGGACGCGUGGUUCUAUUUUGUUGGUUUCUAGGACCGCCGUAAUGAUUAAUAGGGACAGUCGGGGGCAUCAGUAUUCAAUUGUCAGAGGUGAAAUUCUUGGAUUUAUUGAAGACUAACUACUGCGAAAGCAUUUGCCAAGGAUGUUUUCAUUAAUCAGGAACGAAAGUUAGGGGAUCGAAGACGAUCAGAUACCGUCGUAGUCUUAACCAUAAACUAUGCCGACUAGGGAUCGGACGAUGUUAUUUUUUGACGCGUUCGGCACCUUACGAGAAAUCAAAGUGCU
rnacentral:rRNA from 1 species